ACCGGAUUAGAUACCCUGGUAGUCCACGCCCUAAACGAUGUCUACUAGUUGUCGGGUUUUAAUUAAACUUGGUAACGCAGCUAACGCGUGAAGUAGACCGCCUGGGGAGUACGGUCGCAAGAUUAAAACUCAAAGGAAUUGACGGGGACCCGCACAAGCGGUGGAUGAUGUGGAUUAAUUCGAUGCAACGCGAAAAACCUUACCUACCCUUGACAUGUACGGAAGACCGAAGAGAUUUGGUUGUGCUCGAAAGAGAACCGUAACACAGGUGCUGCAUGGCUGUCGUCAGCUCGUGUCGUGAGAUGUUGGGUUAAGUCCCGCAACGAGCGCAACCCUUGUCAUUAGUUGCUACAUUUAGUUGAGCACUCUAAUGAGACUGCCGGUGACAAACCGGAGGAAGGUGGGGAUGACGUCAAGUCCUCAUGGCCCUUAUGGGUAGGGCUUCACACGUCAUACAAUGGUACAUACAGAGGGCCGCCAACCCGCGAGGGGGAGCUAAUCCCAGAAAGUGUAUCGUAGUCCGGAUCGCAGUCUGCAACUCGACUGCGUGAA
rnacentral:rRNA from 1 species